CCUACGGGUGGCUGCAGUGGGGAAUAUUGGACAAUGGGGGGAACCCUGAUCCAGCCAUGCCGCGUGUGUGAAGAAGGCCCUCGGGUUGUAAAGCACUUUCAGUGAGGAAGAACGCCUGGUGGUUAAUACCCAUCAGGAAAGACAUCACUCACAGAAGAAGCACCGGCUAACUCCGUGCCAGCAGCCGCGGUAAUACGGAGGGUGCGAGCGUUAAUCGGAAUUACUGGGCGUAAAGCGCGCGUAGGUGGCUUGAUAAGCCGGUUGUGAAAGCCCCGGGCUCAACCUGGGAACGGCAUCCGGAACUGUGAAGCUAGAGUGCAGGAGAGGAAGGUAGAAUUCCCGGUGUAGCGGUGAAAUGCGUAGAGAUCGGGAGGAAUACCAGUGGCGAAGGCGGCCUUCUGGACUGACACUGACACUGAGGUGCGAAAGCGUGGGUAGCAAACAGGAUUAGAUACCCUUGUAGUC
rnacentral:rRNA from 1 species